AAAACGGAGAGUUUGAUCCUGGCUCAGGAUGAACGCUGGCGGUAUGCUUAACACAUGCAAGUCGAACGGUGCCUUAGGGCAUAGUGGCGGACGGGUGAGUAACGCGUGAGAAUCUAGCUCUAGGUCGGGGACAACCAC
rnacentral:rRNA from 1 species